rnacentral:rRNA from 1 species
GGUUCGAUCCAUGGCUCACGAUUGAACGCUGGCGGGAUGCUUUACACAUGCAAGUCGAACGGCAGCACGGACUUCGGUCUGGUGGCGAGUGGCGAACGGGUGAGUAAUGUAUCGGAACGUGCCUAGUAGCGGGGGAUAACUACGCGAAAGCGUAGCUAAUGCCACAUACGCCCUUCGAGGGAAAGCAGGACCUUCGGGCCUCGCACUAUUAAGAGCGGCGAUAUCGGAUUAGCUGAACGGUGAGACCAGCUUUUGGCUCGCAGGCGACGAUCCGUAGCUGGUUUGAGAGGACGACCAGCCACACUGGGACUGAGACACGGCCCAGACUCCUGCAGGAGGCAGCAGUGAAAUUUUGGACAAUGGGGGAAACCCUGAUCCAGCCAUCCCGCAUUGUGCGAUGAAGGCCUUCGGGUUGUAAAGCACUUUUGGCAGGAAAAGAAACGGCACGGGAUAAUACCCGUGCAACUGACAGUACCUGCAGAGUAAGCACCGGCUAACUACGUGCCAGCAACCGCGGUGUAACCACAUGGGCAGGCAUCAUCGAGAACACGGGCAGCAGCGUGCAGGCAACGGAAGAACGAUGUAAAUCUCGGACUAUUUAGAAUGCAUUUUUAACUACCGAGCUAGAGUGUGUCAGAGAGGAGUGGAAUUCCGCGUGUAGCAGUGAAAUGCGUAGAUAUGCGGAGGAACACCACGAAAUGGCGAAGGCAGCCUCCUGGGAUAACACUGACGCUCAUGCACGAAAGCGUGGGGAGCAAACGGGAUUAGAUACCCUGGUAGUCCACGCCCUAAACGAUGUCAACUAGCUGUUGGGGCCUUCGGGCCUUGGUAGCGCAGCUAACUGUAAGUUGACCGCCUGGGGAGAUACGGUCGCAAGAUUAAAACUCAAAGGAAUUGACGGGGACCCGCACAAGCCCGGUGGAUGAUGUGGAUUAAUUCGAUGCAACGCGAAAAACCUUCCUACCCUUGACAUGUCUGGAAUCCCGAAGAGAUUUGGGAGUGCUCGCAAGAGAACCGGAACACAGGUGCUGCAUGGCUGUCGUCAGCUCGUGUCGUGAGAUGUUAGGUUAAGUCCCGCAACGAGCGCAACCCUUGUCAUUAGUUGCUACGAAAAGGGCACUCUAAUGAGACUGCCGGUGACAAACCGGAGGAAGGUGGGGAUGACGUCAGGUCCUCAUGGCCCAUAUGGGUAGGGCUUCACACGUCAUACAAUGGUCAGGACAGAGGGGUCGCCAACCCGCGAGGAGCCAAUCCAGAGAAACCCGAUCGUAGUCCGGAUCGCAGUCUGCAACUCGACUGCGUGAAGUCGGAAUCGCUAGUAAUCGCGGAUCAGCAUGUCGCGGUGAAUACGUUCCCGGAGUCUUGUACACACCGCCCGUCACACCAUGGGAGUGGGUUUUACCAGAAGUAGUUAGCCUAACCGUAAAGGAGGGCGAUUACCACAGUAGGAUUCAUGACUGGGGUGAAGUCGUAGCACCUAAGAUAG